rnacentral:rRNA from 1 species
GAUGAACGCUGGCGGCGUGCCUAAUACAUGCAAGUCGAGCGAACAGACGAGGAGCUUGCUCCUCUGACGUUAGCGGCGGACGGGUGAGUAACACGUGGAUAACCUACCUAUAAGACUGGGAUAACUUCGGGAAACCGGAGCUAAUACCGGAUAAUAUAUUGAACCGCAUGGUUCAAUAGUGAAAGACGGUUUUGCUGUCACUUAUAGAUGGAUCCGCGCCGCAUUAGCUAGUUGGUAAGGUAACGGCUUACCAAGGCAACGAUGCGUAGCCGACCUGAGAGAGUGAUCGGCCACACGGGAACUUGGACACGGUCAAGACGCCUGCGGGAGGCCGCAGUAGGGAAUCGUCCGCAAUGGGCGAAAGCCUGACGGAGCAACGCCGCGUGAGUGAUGAAGGUCUUCGGAUCGUAAAACUCUGUUAUGAGGGAAGAACAAAUGUGUAAGUAACUAUGCACGUCUUGACGGUACCUAAUCAGAAAGCCACGGCUAACUACGUG